rnacentral:rRNA from 1 species
UCCUGACUGACCGAUAGUGAACCAGUACCGUGAGGGAAAGGCGAAAAGAACCCCGGCGAGGGGAGUGAAAAAGAACCUGAAACCGUGUACGUACAAGCAGUGGGAGCACGCUUAGGCGUGUGACUGCGUACCUUUUGUAUAAUGGGUCAGCGACUUAUAUUCUGUAGCAAGGUUAACCGAAUAGGGGAGCCGAAGGGAAACCGAGUCUUAACUGGGCGUUAAGUUGCAGGGUAUAGACCCGAAACCCGGUGAUCUAGCCAUGGGCAGGUUGAAGGUUGGGUAACACUAACUGGAGGACCGAACCGACUAAUGUUGAAAAAUUAGCGGAUGACUUGUGGCUGGGGGUGAAAGGCCAAUCAAACCGGGAGAUAGCUGGUUCUCCCCGAAAGCUAUUUAGGUAGCGCCUCGUGAAUUCAUCUCCGGGGGUAGAGCACUGUUUCGGCAAGGGGGUCAUCCCGACUUACCAACCCGAUGCAAACUGCGAAUACCGGAGAAUGUUAUCACGGGAGACACACGGCGGGUGCUAACGUCCGUCGUGAAGAGGGAAACAACCCAGACCGCCAGCUAAGGUCCCAAAGUCAUGGUUAAGUGGGAAACGAUGUGGGAAGGCCCAGACAGCCAGGAUGUUGGCUUAGAAGCAGCCAUCAUUUAAAGAAAGCGUAAUAGCUCACUGGUCGAGUCGGCCUGCGCGGAAGAUGUAACGGGGCUAAACCAUGCACCGAAGCUGCGGCAGCGAUGCUUAUGCGUUGUUGGGUAGGGGAGCGUUCUGUAAGCCUGCGAAGGUGUGCUGUGAGGCAUGCUGGAGGUAUCAGAAGUGCGAAUGCUGACAUAAGUAACGAUAAAGCGGGUGAAAAGCCCGCUCGCCGGAAGACCAAGGGUUCCUGUCCAACGUUAAUCGGGGCAGGGUGAGUCGACCCCUAAGGCGAGGCCGAAAGGCGUAGUCGAUGGGAAACAGGUUAAUAUUCCUGUACUUGGUGUUACUGCGAAGGGGGGACGGAGAAGGCUAUGUUGGCCGGGCGACGGUUGUCCCGGUUUAAGCGUGUAGGCUGGUUUUCUAGGCAAAUCCGGAAAAUCAAGGCUGAGGCGUGAUGACGAGGCACUACGGUGCUGAAGCAAC